rnacentral:rRNA from 1 species
AAUAGAUACCCUGGUAGUCCACGCCGUAAACGAUGAGUGCUAAGUGUUGGGGGGUUUCCGCCCCUCAGUGCUGCAGCUAACGCAUUAAGCACUCCGCCUGGGGAGUACGGUCGCAAGACUGAAACUCAAAGGAAUUGACGGGGGCCCGCACAAGCGGUGGAGCAUGUGGUUUAAUUCGAAGCAACGCGAAGAACCUUACCAGGUCUUGACAUCCCGGUGACCACUAUGGAGACAUAGUUUCCCCUUCGGGGGCAACGGUGACAGGUGGUGCAUGGUUGUCGUCAGCUCGUGUCGUGAGAUGUUGGGUUAAGUCCCGCAACGAGCGCAACCCUUAUUCUUAGUUGCCAUCAUUCAGUUGGGCACUCUAAGGAGACUGCCGGUGAUAAACCGGAGGAAGGUGGGGAUGACGUCAAAUCAUCAUGCCCCUUAUGACCUGGGCUACACACGUGCUACAAUGGACGGUACAAACGGUUGCCAACCCGCGAGGGGGAGCUAAUCCGAUAAAACCGUUCUCAGUUCGGAUUGUAGGCUGCAACUCGCCUAC